rnacentral:rRNA from 1 species
AGCAGCCGCGGUAAUUCCAGCUCCAAUAGCGUAUAUUAAAGUUGUUGCAGUUAAAAAGCUCGUAGUUGAAUUUCGGGAUCAAUAUAUCGGUCGUGCCAUUGGUACGUACUGGUAUCAUUGGUUUCUCCUUUCUGACGAACCAUGAUGUCAUUAAUUUGGUGUUAUGGGAAGUUAGGACUGUUACUUUGAAAAAUUAGAGUGUUUAAAGCAGGCUUUAGCUUGAAUACAUUAGCAUGGAAUAAUGAAAUAGGACGUUCGAACCUAUUUUGUUGGUUUCUAGGAUCAACGUAAUGAUUAAUAGGGAUAGUUGGGGGCAUUAGUAUUCAAUUGUCAGAGGUGAAAUUCUUGGAUUUAUUGAAGACUAACUACUGCGAAAGCAUUUGCCAAGGAUGUUUUCAUUAAUCAAGAACGAAAGUUAGGGGAUCGAAGACGAUCAGAUACCGUCGUAGUCUUAACCAUAAACUAUGCCGACUAGGGAUCGGAUGAUGUUAAUUUUUAAUGUACUCA